rnacentral:lncRNA from 1 species
AUGAUACACCAAAUUAGCCCUGGAGUUUGGAGAUACCCUUGCAGUCCAGUAUAGACCAGCUAACUUGGUUUUCCUCAAUUCAGGCAAAUUUCUUUCUUUCUUUUUUUUUUUCAUUUUAGGUCAGCAAAGUUCUCCAUUGUGCCUCCUUUAUAGGGGUUGGACUCAAUUAUCCAUAGGGUUCCUUCCAGCUUUUCAAUUCUAAGAUGAUGAUGAUGAAGAAGAAGCUGAAAACUCCCUGUGAAAGAAACCUGUCAAUGAUAAAGAUUCCUCAACAGAUGCAAAGAGAAUUUAAUUGGAAGAAAACAUCUGGAUGCUUUGCUAGUGGUUUAAUAUUUCCGCCUGAAGUGAUUAGAAGCACCUGAACUCUUCACCCGAGCCAAGUGAGUGCUCUGGAGGAAAGACCCCCAUAAGAGGGUUGCCGGCAGGAAGUUAAGUAUCGGAUUGAAGCAGGUGGUUAAAAAUAAUACCGAAUAAAGAUUAAUAGUUUCAUAAUCCCCGGCAUUUGCAGCAUGCCGCGAAUAGCCAAGAAUGAUCCUAUCAAUGCAAUAUGCCCAUAGUUACGUGGGUGCUAUAAAUAGUCGCACUAAUGAAAGUAAAUUUGCUCUACCUGCAGGUGCCCUGCAAAUGUGUCUACAAAUUACCCUUCCACUUGAAAAGACUUUUUCCUCCCCUCUUUCCUUUGCUUUUCUACAGGUUUGAAAGUCAGAAUCGCACAUAGGUCUUUUACAAAAUGGGUAUCAGAGAGAUCGCUGCUCGUUUGCUGAGUCGUCCACAAAUGCCUAACGAAGGUGUUAGCAUGCGAGGCUCAUGAAGGGGGAGAAGCCGUGGUGGUGGUUUUGCCAAGAGAAAAGAAGAUUAAGUGGGGUCAGGAUAGUUCAGGAGCUACGAAUAGGCUGUGGGAGCAAAGAUGAGCAGCAGUCAAUGCAUGGCUGUGGUUCUGUGCUCCUGGAGCCACUGCUAGCAGUCAGCUUUAUAAUAUGGCUUCCAUAUCAGGAAUGUAGGGGAAGUCAAAUGGAUUGCCAUAAAGAAAGAGAGAGGAUUCCUUUGAAUUGUGGUCGCCCCAAACCUUUUCAAGUCACUGAACCCCUUGUGCAAGCUUUCUUGAAAUUUGUUUUUAAUGUUAAUAUAUAUUUUUACUACAUACAAGAAGAACAAAACCAUAAACAAAAUAAAGCAAUAGUGUAUCCCUUGUUGGUUUUAAUGGUUUUAAGGUAAUUAUCUGUUUUAACUGGAUUUUAUAUGCUACAGUAGUCAAGGUCUAUGGCCAGAAACAAUGAAGUUUAUAUGUAUGUAUCCCUCAUCCCAUGGACCAUCCAUUAAUACAAUAACACACAUGUGCAUGCACACACAAACACACACACACAUAUAUAUGUCAUAUACAAACAUUUUACAACAAUGUUCUAUUCAUUGUUUAUUUGACCCCUUAUCUCUUCCAGAAACUCGUACAAAUGUCGUAUACAAACAUUUUAUAACAAUGUUCUAUUCAUCGUUUAUUUGACCCCUUAUCUCUUCCAGAAAUACAUAUUUUCUUGCCCUGACUUUUGCCCUUUUCCUUUGUUCUUUCUUUAAAUUUGUGAGCCCGUGUGGCAUAGUUUUUUUAAGAGUGCCUGGCUAAGAGCCAAAUUACACAUUCCAGAUAGCAUAACAUUAGGAGAAGCAAUUCCUAAAGUGCUGAAAAACAUCUGAUUGUCACAGCAGGAUCUCUCUCACACCUCCUGUUGUUUGCAGCUGAGCUUGUUUUGUUUUGUGAUUGGUCACUGAAAGAUAAACACAGGCUAUAUUUGCAUAUAAUUGAUGGCUCUCUCACACAAAGAUCUGCCAGAAUCAAGUCUCUGGAACACAAAUGGGAUUUCAGCAUUUGUAACAUAUGGUUUGACCCUAAGGUUCAGGAGACCUGGGCUCAAACUAUGAAACUCACUGGGUGAUGCAGGGCCAGCUACACUCAUUUAGCCUUGACCUACCUUACAGGGUUGUUAGGCUGAAGUCGGGAAUAGAACUCCUUGUGGCCUUGUUUGUCUUUCCAGGACAAACAAGCAAAUAAAUGGACUAUUUUCAGUGAUUCUUCCCA